ensembl:lincRNA
GGAGAAUCGCUGGAACCCAGGAGGUGGAGGUUGCAGUGCACCGAGAUCUUGCCACUGUACUCCAGCCUGGGCGACAGAGCGAGACUCCAUCUCUGUCCUCCACCCUCCUCUCAAAAAGAAUCGACCAAAGUUUGCAGUCAUCAGUCAUGUCAAGUGCAUGACACCUGCUUCUAUCUAGGCCCAGAUCUUCCACUUCUCCCUGCCUCUGGGCGAGGGGGUAACUAAAAACGGGGGUCGCUGGCCGGGAUGCGGGGACAGUGGGCCAGGCCCUCGGGCCCAGAGGGGAUCAUCCCGGGAGCUGCAGGCCGCAGUACCUGGUUCCUGCCAGUGACAGGGCGUCGCAAGCACAUCCAUGGAUGACGUCACCAACGCUCCACCGGUGCUUCCGCCCUGCAGGGAGCCGAGCGCGGGGAAGAGGGCGCGGCGCGGGGCCGUCACCACGCCAGGCUGCGGGCCGCUCAGUCAGUCCCUCCGCCCGGUGGGCCUGCGGGUUCUGGCUGAAACUGUUUCUCACUGGUCAAACUAUUAACUGCGUGCCUGAAAAUCUGUUAGGACAGGAAACAGGAAGAUAUUCUACCAAAGCCCCCGGUGGUACAAAUGGCGGAGUCUGUUCUGCCUCACUCGCCCCUGGUCACCACCAUUCAGUGAUCAUUCAUCUGUGGCAACAGGUGGGCAGCGGGGGAAGCUGAAUUAGAUACCCGAUGUGUAACUUUUUGGAGGUUUUUACAGAAGCAGAUAGAGUGGCCAGUGGCAUCAAAGAAAUGGAAUGAGAACUUGAGCCCAGGCACCCAGAGCAGGUGUUUUCUGAGCCCUCAGCUCCCUCUACAGGGCUUUCCCGACCACGGCCAGCCCGUUUGGGGAGUCACGUCUCAGCCCUGGCUUGGGUACAGCAGGGAGGGCUCUGGAGGCCCCUGCUGAGCAGGGUUGACUCUAACACUCUUCCUCUGUGUCUUAGUAUUGUCUUUUAUCUGUAAAUCAUGUUCUCUUUUGCCGCAAGCAAAUUCCUGAAUUUUUGCUCCCUUCUAGAAGCUCAAGUGAGGGUCUUUACCAGAGACAUACCCAGAGAUCUGCUGGAAUGUCUUUAGGGAGUCCAGAAAUCACUUACAGAGGCUACCUCUGCCGCUUGGCUGUCCCUGGAGCAGCCCAGAGCUCUCUUUCACUCCUAAGGGGAUGUCUGUCUCGCUAAUUUCCAUCAAGAAAUCUGUUUUCUCGGACAGGCACAGUGGCUCAUGACUGCAAUCCCAGCACUUUGGGAGGCUGAGGUGGAUCACCCGAAGUCAGGAGUUCGAGACCAGCCUGACCAACAUGGUGAAAACCCGUCUCUACUAAAAACACAAAAAAUUAGCCAAGCAUGGUGACAGGUGCCUGUAAUCCCAGCAGCUUGGAAUUGAGAGGCAGGAGAAUUGCUUGAAUCCUGGAGGCGGUGGUUGCAGUGAGUCAAAAUCACACCACUGCACUCCAGCCUGGGCAACACAGUGAAACUCCAUCUCAAAAAAAAAAAAAGAAACAGAAAUCCAUUUUCACAGGAAACCAAAAAUCAGCAUUUUGGACUCAGUCCGCUAAAUGAUUAUUCCUUUCCUGAUACAGAUUUUGGUUUUGAGAGUCAAACAGGGAUAGGCAGCACAACGUGACUUUGGUUUUGAUCCAGAACCAUUUUACUAAGCUCAGAAAAGCAUGCUUUGUCAAGUUCCGAUGGAUUCCAAGGGAAAUCACCUAUCCCAGGUAAAGCUGUACUUUCUCUCGCCAAGCGCCUGGAGGUAGCAUCUCCACUUCCCAUUCUUUGCCAAUGGCUCCUGUGACUGAACAGAGAAGCUUUUUCUGAAAUAAGAUGAAAGUGUUUGUGGAAGAGCCACAGAAUAAAAAUAGAGAUACAAGUGCUUACUUUCAAUUCUUUUCUUUUAAAUGUAAAUAAUUGCUCCAUGAUCCAUGCCGCCACUUACCCCAACUGAAUACCAAAACAGCCGAAUCCUUCUGAAUCCUUUUUUUUUUUUUAAUUUUUUUUUUUUUAGAGACAGUGUCCUGCUGUUUCCCAGGCAGGAAACAGCUGAGUGGCAGUGGUGCCAUCCCAGCUCACUGAAGCCUCAAACUCCUGGGCUCAAGGGAUCCUCCCACCUCAGCCUCCUGAGUAGUGGGGACUACAGGCGCGCACCACCACACACGCUCUAGGCGAAAGAAUGAGGCUCCUUCUCAAAAAACAAAACA